rnacentral:misc_RNA from 1 species
UGACAACUCAAGCUCUUCUCUCUUCAAUGGAAGCUGGGAGGCAGCUCCUUGGAGGGAGGCCAUUUACUUCUACACCCUCAAAGUCUCUUGGAUCUCAGAAGAAGUCCUCAUUUGUUGUCAGGGCAGCAGCAACUCCCCCUGCUAAGCAAGGAGCCGACCGGCAGCUUUUGUUUGCAUCCAAGCAAUCCCUCACUUACUUAGAUGGAACCCUCCCCGGCGACUACGGCUUCGACCCUCUCGGCCUCUCAGACCCCGAGGGCACCGGUGGAUUCAUCGAGCCCAAAUGGCUCGCAUACGGUGAGGUCAUCAAUGGUCGCUAUGCCAUGCUGGGAGCAGUAGGGGCCAUUGCACCAGAGAUCUUCGGAAAGCUGGGACUGAUACCCCCGGAGACUGCCCUGCCUUGGUUCCAGACCGGCGUCAUCCCGCCUGCUGGAACCUAUAACUACUGGGCAGACCCCUACACCCUCUUUGUGUUCGAAAUGGCGCUAAUGGGGUUUGCGGAGCAUCGGAGGUUGCAGGACUGGUACAAUCCGGGCUCCAUGGGCAAGCAGUACUUUUUAGGGCUUGAGAAGUACUUGGGAGGGUCUGGGGAACCUGCUUACCCCGGUGGUCCCAUCUUCAACCCCCUAGGGUUUGGGAGUGAUGAGAAGAGCUUGAAGGAGUUGAAGCUGAAGGAGGUGAAGAAUGGGAGGCUAGCCAUGCUGGCUAUUCUAGGGUACUUUGUGCAGGGUCUGGUGACUGGUGUUGGGCCCUUUCAGAAUCUG